UGGGGAAUAUUGCACAAUGGACGGAAGUCUGAUGCAGCAACGCCGCGUGCGGGAUGACGGCCUUCGGGUUGUAAACCGCUUUUCCUCAUGACGAAGUUUUUUGACGGUAGUGGGGGAAGAAGCACCGGCUAACUACGUGCCAGCAGCCGCGGUGAUACGUAGGGUGCGAGCGUUGUCCGGAAUUAUUGGGCGUAAAGAGCUUGUAGGCGGUUUGUCGCGUCGAUAGUGCAAACUCAGUGCUUAACGCUGAGCCUGCUGUUGAUACGGGCAGACUAGAGGAAGGUAGGGGAGAAUGGAAUUCCCGGUGGAGCGGUGGAAUGCGCAGAUAUCGGGAGGAACACCGGUGGCGAAGGCGGUUCUCUGGGCCUUUCCUGACGCUGAGAAGCGAAAGCGUGGGGAGCGAACAGG
rnacentral:rRNA from 1 species